GACGAAGGGGGCUAGCGUUGUUCGGAAUUACUGGGCGUAGAGCGAGUGUAGGUGGUUGUCCAAGUUGGAUGUGAAAGCCUUGAGCUCAACUCAAGAAAUGCAUUCAGGACUGGAUGGCUAGAGGACCGGAGAGGAUAGUGGAAUUCCCAGUGUAGUGGUGAAAUACGUAGAGAUUGGGAAGAACACCAGUGGCGAAGGCGGCUAUCUGGACGGUUUCUGACACUAAGACUCGAAAGCGUGGGGAGCAAACAGG
rnacentral:rRNA from 1 species